rnacentral:tRNA from 1 species
GGGGGACUAGCUCAGCGGGAGAGCGCUGCCUUCGCAUGGCAGAAGUCAGGGGUUCAAAUCCCCUGUCCUCCACCA